UACGUAGGGGGCUAGCGUUGUUCGGAAUUACUGGGCGUAAAGCGCCCGUAGGCGGCUUUGUAAGUUAGAGGUGAAAGCCCGGGGCUCAACUCCGGAAUUGCCUUUAAGACUGCAUCGCUAGAAUUGUGGAGAGGUAAGUGGAAUUCCGAGUGUAGAGGUGAAAUUCGUAGAUAUUCGGAAGAACACCAGUGGCGAAGGCGACUUACUGGACACAUAUUGACGCUGAGGUGCGAAAGCGUGGGGAGCAAACAGG
rnacentral:rRNA from 1 species